GGGUGAGUAACGCGUGGAUAACCUGCCUUGUACAGGGGGAUAACACCUGGAAACAGGUGCUAAGACCGCAUAAGCGCACGGUCCCGCAUGGGACAGUGUGAAAAACUCCGGUGGUACAAGAUGGAUCCGCGUCUGAUUAGCCAGUUGGCGGGGUAACGGCCCACCAAAGCGACGAUCAGUAGCCGGCCUGAGAGGGUGAACGGCCACAUUGGGACUGAGACACGGCCCAAACUCCUACGGGAGGCAGCAGUGGGGAAUAUUGCACAAUGGGGGAAACCCUGAUGCAGCAACGCCGCGUGAGUGAAGAAGUAAUUCGUUAUGUAAAGCUCUAUCAGCAGGGUAGAAAAUGACGGUACCUGAGUAAGCAGCCCCGGCUAACUACGUGCCAGCAGCCGCGGUAAUACGUAGGGGGCAAGCGUUAUCCGGAUUUACUGGGUGUAAAGGGAGCGUAGACGGUAAAGCAAGUCUGAAGUGAAAUGCCAGUGCUCAACACUGGAACUGCUUUGGAAACUGUUUGGCUGGAGUGCAGGAGAGGUAAGUGGAAUUCCUAGUGUAGCGGUGAAAUGCGUAGAUAUUAGGAGGAACACCAGUGGCGAAGGCGGCUUACUGGACUGUAACUGACGUUGAGGCUCGAAAGCGUGGGGAGCAAACAGGAUUAGAUACCCUGGUAGUCCACGCGGUAAACGAC
rnacentral:rRNA from 1 species